rnacentral:rRNA from 1 species
GAUGAACGCUGGCGGCGUGCCUAAUACAUGCAAGUCGAGCGAACGGACGAGAAGCUUGCUUCUCUGAUGUUAGCGGCGGACGUGUGAGUAACACGUGUAUAACCUACCUAUCAGACUGGGAUAACUUCGGAAAACCGUAUCUUAUACCAGAUAAUAUUUUGCACCGCAUUGUUCAAAAGUGAAAUACGGUCUUGCUGUCACUUAUCGAUGCAUCCGCGCUGUAUUAGCUAGUUGGUAAGGUAACGGCUUACCAAGGCAACGAUGCAUGGACGACCUGAGAGGGUGAUCGGCCACACGGGAACGUGGACACGGUCAAGACUACUACGGGAGGCAGCAGUAGGGAAUGUUACGCAAUGGGCGAAAGCAUGGCGGAGCAGCGGCGCGUGAGUGAUGAAGGUCUUCGGAGCGUAAAACUCUGUUAUGAGGGAAGAACAUAUGUGUAAGGAACUGUGCACAGCGUGACGGUACUUAAUAAGAAAGCCACGGCUAACUACGUG